UACGAAGGGAGCUAGCGUUGUUCGGAAUCACUGGGCGUAAAGCGCACGUAGGCGGCGUGUUAAGUCACUUUGUGAAAUCUCUAAGCUUAACUUAGAACGGUCAAGUGAUACUGAUGUGCUAGAGUGCAGAAGGGGCAACCGGAAUUCUUGGUGUAGCGGUGAAAUGCGUAGAUAUCAAGAGGAACACCUGAGGUGAAGACGGGUUGCUGGGCUGACACUGACGCUGAGGCGCGAAAGCUAGGGUAGCAAACGGG
rnacentral:rRNA from 1 species